rnacentral:rRNA from 1 species
UGGGGAAUCUUGGACAAUGGGGGCAACCCUGAUCCAGCCAUGCCGCGUGAGUGAUGAAGGCCUUAGGGUCGUAAAGCUCUUUCGCCUGUGAAGAUAAUGACGGUAGCAGGUAAAGAAACCCCGGCUAACUCCGUGCCAGCAGCCGCGGUAAUACGGAGGGGGUUAGCGUUGUUCGGAAUUACUGGGCGUAAAGAGUUCGUAGGCGGACUAGCAAGUUAGAGGUGAAAUCCCAGGGCUCAACCUUGGAACUGCCUUUAAAACUGCUAGUCUAGAGACCGGAAGAGGUUAGGGGAAUACCUAGUGUAGAGGUGAAAUUCGUAGAUAUUAGGUGGAACACCAGUGGCGAAGGCGCCUAACUGGUCCGGUACUGACGCUGAGGAACGAAAGCGUGGGGAGCAAACAGGAUUAGAUACCCUGGUAGUCCACGCCGUAAACGAUGAGUGCUAGAUGUUGGGAUUUUCGGAUUUCAGUGUCGCAGCUAACGCAUUAAGCACUCCGCCUGGGAGUAC